rnacentral:rRNA from 1 species
UACGGAGGGUGCGAGCGUUAUCCGGAAUUACUGGGUUUAAAGGGUGCGUAGGCGGCUUGGUAAGUCAGGAGUGAAAGUUUGCGGCUCAACCGUAAAAUUGCUUUUGAUACUGCCAGGCUAGAAUCAGGAUGAGGUCAGCGGAAUGUGGCAUGUAGCGGUGAAAUGCAUAGAUAUGCCAUAGAACACCUAUUGCGAAGGCAGCUGGCUAGACCUGUAUUGACGCUGAGGCACGAAAGCGUGGGGAGCGAACAGG